rnacentral:rRNA from 1 species
AGAGUUUGAUUCUGGCUCAGGAUGAACGCUAGCGAUAGGCCUAACACAUGCAAGUCGAGGGGCAGCACAUGAAGUAGCAAUACGGAUGGUGGCGACCGGCGCACGGGUGAGUAACGCGUAUGCAACCUGCCUACAACAGGGGAAUAACCCGUUGAAAGACGGACUAAUACCCCAUAACACAGGGAUCCCGCAUGGGAAUAUUUGUUAAAGAUUUAUCGGUUGUAGAUGGGCAUGCGUUCCAUUAGCUGGUUGGUGAGGUAACGGCUCACCAAGGCAACGAUGGAUAGGGGAACUGAGAGGUCUAUCCCCCACACUGGUACUGAGACACGGACCAGACUCCUACGGGAGGCAGCAGUGAGGAAUAUUGGUCAAUGGACGCAAGUCUGAACCAGCCACGUCGCGUGAAGGAAGACGGCCCUACGGGUUGUAAACUUCUUUUGUAAGGGAAUAAAGUGCAGUACGUGUACUGUUUUGCAUGUACCCUACGAAUAAGGAUCGGCUAACUCCGUGCCAGCAGCCGCGGUAAUACGGAGGAUCCGAGCGUUAUCCGGAUUUAUUGGGUUUAAAGGGUGCGCAGGCGGGAGAUUAAGUCGGCGGUGAAAUUUUGCAGCUCAACUGUAAAAGUGCCUUCGAAACUGGUUUUCUUGAGUGUGGAUGAAGUAGGCGGAAUUUGUGGUGUAGCGGUGAAAUGCAUAGAUAUCACGAGGAACUCCGAUUGCGCAGGCAGCUUACUAAACCAUAACUGACGCUCAGGCACGAAGGCGUGGGGAUCAAACAGGAUUAGAUACCCUGGUAGUC